rnacentral:lncRNA from 1 species
UGUAGCCCAUGUUAAAAAAGUCAAAACUGUUAAAUAUUUGUAUUUAAAUAUUGCCAAAUCACACAUCACCAACAAGGCUUGUUCACAUUGUUAUCCAAAUAAAUGGUAUUGCUUCAAGUGCACAGCCCGUGUGGCUACACAGGCCUUUCCCCCUCUGAUCCAGCAAUUUAAAUUCUAAAUACUCUAGAAAACUUACAUAUAAAUACAGGUGAUGAUAUGAACAUUAGAUGCAAAAUAAAUUGCUAGAACUAGAAUUCUUUUUUUUAGCAAGGUUGAUGGAUACAAAAUUUUUUUUAAAUCAAUUUUAGUUCUCUAUUCCCUCACCAAUGAGAAAAUGAAAAUGGUAAUUUAUAAAUGCAUAAGACUUCAAGCACUAUUCAUAUAACCACCUCUAUAUGAAAAUUAUGCAACUUUUAAAAUAAAUUCAGAGACUAAACAAAUGGAAAGCUAUGCCAUAUUUGAAGACCCAACAGUGUAGAUGCCUAUUCUCCCAUGCUAAUUUGUUUUUAAUGAAAGCUCAUUAAAAAUCCAAAAGGUUGUAUGUGGGUAGCUUUGUAGAUUCAAUAUACAUAGAAAUCCAAGGGCUGGGAAGUCUUCAGCAGUAUGACAAAGUUUACUUUCAAGCCAUACAAUAACUGAAACAAGGUGGUAGUAGUACAGGAAGAGACAAAUGGACCAAAACAACAGAAAAGCCCAACAAUAGUAGUUGUAGUAGUAGUCUAUGACAGAGGCACCACUAUGAGCAAUGGAAAAGGUCAGACUUGUCACUAAAUGGUGCUGGCACAACUGGAUAUGCAUUUGGGAAAAUAUGAACUAGUCUUUUACUCUUGCCACAUUCAAAUAUAAAUCAACUUUAGGUUUAAAUGUGAAAGGAAAACUUAUGCUGUAAUAUGGAAGAAUAACUUCACAAUUUAAGACCAGGGCAAAUUUUCAUAAGCCACAAAGAACACUACCUAUAAAGACCAUAUCUUUCUCUACAUUAAAAUUAAGUUCUAAUGUGGCUCAGUGGCUGAGUACUCCUGAGUUCAAUUCCCAGUAUUGCCUACCCCCCCAAAUUGUUGUUCUGUGCAUUGAAAGAAACCAGAAAUGAAAAGAUAGGCCUCAGAAUGGAAGAAGACAUUUAUACACAUAUAACUGCCUGAUGGCUCAUGUCCAGAGUAAUAGCUCUUUACAAUUUACUCAGAAAAACAUAAUCUAAUAGUUAAAUGGGCUAAAGACACAAAUGCUUCAAAAAGAAAUAGAAAUGUCCAAUAAGUAAAUAAAAGAUACUCAACUUCUAAUCAGGGAAAUAAACAAAAAUACAAUAGUUCUCCAACUAUACUGGCAAAAAGGAUGUUGAAAAUAGGGAUUUUCAUACAUUGUACCAAUUUAUACUCCUCAUGAGCAAUCACUUUGGAAAACAGUUUGGCAUUUUCUUCUAAAGUUACACAUUCUCUAUCAAAGUCAUCUUCUAUAACUCUAAAGACUCCAUUCAUAUUGAUAUCCACAGAAAUGGUAUUGCCUCAGGUUAUACGAUACUUAGCACAUGUGGCUACACAUACCAGCAAUUUUAGUUGGAUGUAUACUCUAGAAAGCUUGCAUAAAAGGGUUCAAGGAUGUAGACUCAUAGCAGCACUGCUCAGAAUAGCUAAGAAGUGGAAACCACCAAAAGUCAACCACCAGUAUAACAGAAAAAUGAGUCAGAGAAUACUCAUAGGUAGAAUAAUUCUAUAGCAAUCAAAACACAUGACUGAACCUAGCACACAACACAGAUGCACUGUACAAUCAUAAUACUGAAGAAAUAUUAAGAGGACAAUUGUGAUUUUUAUAAAAACUAAAUUAUAUUGAUUUAGGCAUCACAUAGAAAUGGUAAAACUAGUUUUAUAAGACCAAAGAGGUGAUUAAUGUUAAAGUCAGGAUAAUGGUGAUCUCCAUAGGAAGGGACAUUUAAGGUGGGUUGAGAGGGCUAUCUGGAGUGCUAGAGAUGUUUUACUUUUUGGUUGUCAUAUGGGUAUUCACUUUAUAUCAUUCAUUAUCCUUGACAUUUAUGAUAUUUUAUAAUUAAAAAGGUCAGUAAAACAAAUGAAAAGGAAGAUAAAGGAGAAGAAAUACCUAGUAAGAAAAAAUAUAUAUUCAAGGCAAUAAACAUGAGUAGCAAUAGGAGGUAUAUUAGGAUGAUAAAAUAACUUAACAAGUUUAUAGACAUUUUAGUAACUCCUAGAAGCCAACAAACCAAGCAGACAAAAACCAAACUGUUAGAAAUGUAGUAAAUAUCACAAUAGCACAACAUGUAUAUAACAGAGAUUAGACUUUUUAAAAAAGAAUAUAUGGAGCAUUAUGAAAAUUUGUCUAAAGUCAAAAACCUCAAAUCCUAAAGACUUAAUACCAAAAAGAUAUUCUGAUUAUAAUGCAGUAAAAUCAGGGGGGAAAAAAAGGGACUGGGUAGAUUCAGUGGUAGAAACCAUGCUUAUCAUGUGCA